GAUGAACGCUGGCGGCGUGCUUAACACAUGCAAGUCGAACGGUGAAAGAGAGCUUGCUCUCUGGAUCAGUGGCGAACGGGUGAGUGACACGUGAGCAAUCUGCCCCUGACUCUGGGAUAAGCGCUGGAAACGGCGUCUAAUACCGGAUACGAGCUGCGAAGGCAUCUUCAGCAGCUGGAAAGAACUUCGGUCAGGGAUGAGCUCGCGGCCUAUCAGCUAGUUGGUGAGGUAAUGGCUCACCAAGGCGUCGACGGGUAGCCGGCCUGAGAGGGUGACCGGCGACACUGGGACUGAGACACGGCCCAGACUCCUACGGGAGGCAGCAAUGGGGAAUAUUGCACAAUGGGCGCAAGCCUGAUGCAGCAACGCCGCGUGAGGGACGACGGCCUUCGGGUUGUAAACCUCUUUUAGCAGGGAAGAAGCGAAAGUGACGGUACCUGCAGAAAAAGCACCGGCUAACUACGUGCCAGCCGCCGCAGUAAAAC
rnacentral:rRNA from 1 species